AUGUCACCGGAGACCUCUGAAGUGACGGAGUAUCUCAAUGGUCAGGAGUCUGCCAAGACUGCCAGGGUAAGUUUCUCUCUAUCUCUUUACGUCUCUUGCGCUCUCUCUCUCUCUCUCUCUCUCUCUACAUCUCUCUCUCUCUCUACGUCUCUCUCUAUAUCUCUCUCUCUCUCUACAUCUCUCUCUAUAUCUCUCUCUCUCUCUCUCUCACAUCUCUCUAUAUCUCUCUCUCUUUCUACGUCUCUCUCUACAUCUCUCUCUCUCGCGCUCUCUCUCUCUCUACAUCUCUCUCUACGUCUCUCUCUACAUCUCUCUCUACGUCUCUCUCUAUAUCUCUCUCUCUCUCUACGUCUCUCUCUAUAUCUCUCUCUCUCUCUACGUCUCUCUCUCUCUCUACGUCUCUCUCUACAUCUCUCUCUACGUCUCUCUAUAUCUCUCUCUCUCUAUAUCUCUCUCUAUAUCUCUCUCUCUCUCUCUACGUCUCUCUCUACAUCUCUCUCUCUCUACGUCUCUCUCUACAUCUCUCUCUCUAUCUCUCUCUCUCUACGUCUCUCUACAUCUCUCUCUACGUCUCUCUAUCUCUCUCUCUCGCUCUACGUCUCUCUCUACAUCUCUCUCUCUCUCUCUACGUCUCUCUCUACUCUCUCUCUCUCUCUCUACGUCUCUCUCUCUCUCUCUCUCUCUCUACGUCUCUCUCUACAUCUCUCUCUCUACGUCUCUCUCUACAUCUCUCUCUCUCUACGUCUCUCUCUACAUCUCUCCCUCUCUCUACGUCUCUCUCUAUAUCUCUCUCUCUCUCUCUCUCUACGUCUCUCUCUAUAUAUCUCUCUCUCUCUCUCUACGUCUCUCUCUACAUCUCUCUCUCUCUCUACGUCUCUCUCUAUAUCUCUCUCUCUCUACGUCUCUCUCUCUCUCUACGUCUCUCCCUCUCUCUACGUCUCUCUCCCUCUUUCUCACUUUUCUCUCCCUGUUUCGUAGUAGCUCGCUCAACACAAUACAAAUUCAGCCUAGCUUUAUUGGCAUGACAGGUAACCCGGUGUUUCCAAAGCUGUAAUUAUAACUACUAGUAGAAGACAGGAGCUCUCCUUCAUUUCUCUGCUCCCUCUGUCUUUCUCUCCACCUGUCUGUUCUCUGAAGAUAUUACACAUCUCAUUGGCAGGCAGUGCUGUCCUAAAUGGAGAGAUAGCAUCCCCAUGGCACACAGGCCUAUGGCCGCCUCCACACACCCCAGGGUCCGCUCACAGCACAGCAACCAAUCCAAACGCAGGUGCUUCUACCUGUUUAGGUACACUAGCCAAUCGUCUAGUCAGAUGACAGAGCAUAUAGAAAAAGUAUCAGCCCAGUUUCAUUAUCCUUGCGAUUACACCGCUCAAUCCUAAUACUCCUAGUUAUGCAGUAACUGUUUACCGUAUCUUGCCCAAGAGCAUAACCCAAUGACCUUAUAUAGAUUAGUUUGUCUAAUCUUGGGGUGCUUGUUUUACCUGUUUUAUGGUAAACAGGUGGCAUCCAUUUAUCCUCCUUAAACACUGUGACCUUCAAGAAGGCACAGUUCUCUCCAACAGCCAGUCACAAGACAAACACUCUCACUGCUUUGACAUAUUGUCCAAUCACACAACGCCAUGCUCAAACAAUCGUCCAAUCAAAGGCAAAAUUGGUGUAAAUGAGAUGUAGUUCUCCAAAAGGCCGGAAGGAGUGACGAGGCAUCGACGGAAAAGGAAAAGAAACAGGAAAGCCGACAUUGACAACAUGGCAGCCGCUUCCUAACAACUAGAGCAAAUUAGCAUGGUCGCUAAUUAGCUGUGAAUCGUCAUGUUGACAGCUGAACACACACUGCUGAUGAGGAGAGGGGCCCUUGGUUGGUGUAGUGAAACAUCUCUCACACACACAACUUCUUGCGUACACACGUAGAAUGCCCCCUCACACACACUACCACCGCCCUUCCCAUUGCACGUCAAACGGAACGUUUAGCAGGAAAUUGCUUGGAUGCUUGAUGAGGGAUGCAGAGCUCAGCGGAGUGGAUUUAAUGGAAUAGAGGGAAUAGACAGGGAUGUGUCUGAAGCACCAGAGCCCUUCUGGAAAGGAUUAAAUUAUGAUGCUCCCCUCGUUCUCACUGGGGUGUGAGAGUACACUGAUGUUCUCUCUAUACCUCUUUACCUCUCUCUCUCGCUCUCUCGCUCUCUCGCUCUCUCUCGCGCUCUCUCUCGCUCUCUCUCUCUCUCUCUCUCUCUCUCUCUCUACCUUUCAACCUCUGUCUACCUCCCCCUGUCUCUCUCUCUCUCUCUCUCUCUCUCUCUCUCUACCUUUCAACCUCUGUCUCCCUCUCCCUGUCUCUACGUCUCUCUCUCUCAAUCUUUCAACCUCUGUCUACCUCCCCCUGUCUCUACCUCUCUCUCUCUCUCUCUCUCUCUCUCUCUGUCUCUGUAUGCCGUAGCAGAAACAGUGUUUGAAUUUGUUUCCUUAUGACAGACCUUGUCGNNNNNNNNNNNNNNNNNNNNCUCUACGUCUCUCUCUACAUCUCUCUCUCUGUCUCUCUCUCUCUCUCUCUCUCUCUGUCUCUGUCUCUCUCUGUCUCUCUCUCUCUCUCUCUCUGUCUCUCUCUGUCUCUCUCUCUCUUGCUCUCUCUCGCUCUCUCUUGCUCUCUCUCUGUCUCUCUCUCUCUACGUCUCUCUCUCUCUCUCUACGUCUCUCUCUAUAUCUCUCUCUCUCUCUACGUCUCUCUCUACAUCUCUCUCUCUAUAUAUAUCUCUCUCUCUCUCUCUACGUCUCUCUCUAUAUCUCUCUCUCUCUCUACGUCUCUCUCUAUAUCUCUCUCUCUCUACGUCUCUCUCUACAUCUCUCUCUCUCUCUACGUCUCUCUCUAUAUCUCUCUCUCUCUCUACGUCUCUCUCUACAUCUCUCCCUCUCUCUACGUCUCUCUCCCUCUUUCUCACUUUUCUCUCCCUGUUUCGUAGUAGCUCGCUCAACACAAUACAAAUUCAGCCUAGCUUUAUUGGCAUGACAGGUAACCCGGUGUUUCCAAAGCUGUAAUUAUAACUACUAGUAGAAGACAGGAGCUCUCCUUCAUUUCUCUGCUCCCUCUGUCUUUCUCUCCACCUGUCUGUUCUCUGAAGAUAUUACACAUCUCAUUGGCAGGCAGUGCUGUCCU
rnacentral:lncRNA from 8 species